rnacentral:rRNA from 1 species
UACGAAGGGGGCUAGCGUUGCUCGGAAUCACUGGGCGUAAAGCGCACGUAGGCGGGUUGCUAAGUCGGGGGUGAAAUCCUGGAGCUCAACUCCAGAACUGCCUUCGAUACUGGCGACCUAGAGUCCGGGAGAGGUGAGUGGAACUCCGAGUGUAGAGGUGAAAUUCGUAGAUAUUCGGAAGAACACCAGUGGCGAAGGCGGCUCACUGGCCCGGUACUGACGCUGAGGUGCGAAAGCGUGGGGAGCGAUCCGG